rnacentral:rRNA from 1 species
CAGCAGCCGCGGGAAUGCGUAGGGGGCAAGCGUUAUCCGGAAUUACUGGGUGUAAAGGGAGCGUAGACGGUUAAACAAGUCUGAAGUGAAAUGCCGGGGCUCAACCCCGGAGCUGCUUUGGGAACUGUAGAACUGGAGUGUCGGAGGGGUAAGCGGAAUUCCCAGUGUAGCGGUGAAAUGCGUAGAUAUUGGGAGGAACACCGGCGGCGAAGGCGGCUUACUGGACGACAACUGACGUUGAGGCUCGAAGGCGUGGGGAGCAAACAGGAUUAGAGACCCGAGUAGUCCCUGUCUCUUAUAC